CAAUAGCGUAUAUUUAAGUUGUUGCAGUUAAAAAGCUCGUAGUUGGAUUUCGGAUGGGAUUUGCCGGUCCGUCGUUACGAUGUGCACUGGCCAGUCCUAUCUUGUUGUCGGGGACUAGCUCCUUGGAUUCACUUCCUGGGUCUAGGAGCUGACGAGGUUACUUUGAGUAAAUUAGAGUGUUCAAAGCAAGCCUACGCUCUGAAUACAUUAGCAUGGAAUAACACGAUAGGACUCUGGCUUAUCUUGUUGGUCUGUGAGACCAGAGUAAUGAUUAAGAGGGACAGUCGGGGACAUUCGUAUUUCAUUGUCAGAGGUGAAAUUCUUGGAUUUAUGAAAGACGAACUUCUGCGAAAGCAUUUGUCAAGGAUGUUUUCAUUAA
rnacentral:rRNA from 1 species